UGUUUGUUCGGAAGUUUUCGGAUGGAAGAAUGGACAGUUUAGUGGCGAACGGGUGAGUAACGCGUGAGUAACCUGCCUUUCAGAGGGGGACAACAGUUGGAAACGACUGCUAAUACCGCAUAAGCCCACGGUGUCACAUGGCACAGUGAGAAAAGGAGAAAUCCGCUGAAAGAUGGACUCGCGUCUGAUUAGAUAGUUGGUGGGGUAACGGCCUACCAAGGCAACGAUCAGUAGCCGGACUGAGAGGUUAAACGGCCACAUUGGGACUGAGAUACGGUCCAAACUCC
rnacentral:rRNA from 1 species